UACGGAGGGUGCAAGCGUUGCUCGGAAUUAUUGGGCGUAAAGGGUAGGUAGGUGGUCUUAUUUGUCUGCGGUGAAAGCCUUGGGCUUAACCUAAGAAGUGCCGCAGAAACGGUAAGACUAGAGUACUGGAGAGGGUCGUGGAAUUCCCGGUGUAGCGGUGAAAUGCGUAGAGAUCGGGAGGAACACCAGAGGCGAAGGCGGCGACCUGGACAGUUACUGACACUCAACUACGAAAGCGUGGGGAGCAAACAGG
rnacentral:rRNA from 1 species